rnacentral:rRNA from 1 species
GUGAGGAAUAUUGGACAAUGGGCGCAAGCCUGAUCCAGCCAUGCCGCGUGCAGGAAGACGCAUCUAUGGUGUGUAAACUGCUUUUGUACGGGAAGAAACACUCCCUCGUGAGGGAGCUUGACGGUACCGUAAGAAUAAGGAUCGGCUAACUCCGUGCCAGCAGCCGCGGUAAUACGGAGGAUCCAAGCGUUAUCCGGAAUCCUUGGGUGUAAAGGGUCCGUAGGCGGUUUAAUAAGUCAGUGGUGAAAGCCCAUCGCUCAACGAUGUAACGGCCAUUGAUACUGUUAGACUUGAAUUACAAGGAAGUAACUAGAAUAUGUAGUGUAGCGGUGAAAUGCUUCGAUAUUACAUGGAAUACCAAUUGCGAAGGCAGGUUACUACUUGUGGAUUGACGCUGAUGGACGAAAGCGUGGGGAGCGAACAGGAUUAGAAACCCUAGUAGUCC